ensembl:lncRNA
CCAAAGUCCAUGAGUCCGUACCGGAGUGAACAACUGAAGGAAGCGAAACAAAGAAGAAGGAACAGUGAGCAGGCCUGAUCACUGCUAGCUUUUACUUGGGUGUGUGCCCAAUGGCUCAGUUGUGUCCGACUCUUUGUGACCCCGUGGACUGUAGCCCGCCAGGCUCCUCUGUCCAUGGGACUCUCCAGUUACAGGCAAACCGAGCUGGUUGAUCACCCCAGUUAGUUCCCGGCCCACCUUGAGAGUAGGAGAGAGUGCCUUUCAUCCUGAGACCAGCAAGAGGGGCUUCAAGGACCCAGGCGAACAGGCGUCUCCUGCUGCUGGCUCCACGCUGGAUGCAUUAAAGGCCAAGGUCAUCCCUGUUGCUGCCCAGCUGGCUGUGGAACUGGACCGGUGGCUGUGUUUUCCGGAUGACUGGGCAAAGGUGUGCGCCCUGGUGGGUCAGGAACCAUCCAAGAAGUACCUAAGGCCCAGCAGAGAGCCUGAAAGAGAGAGAUAUGCACUCGGAAUCCCCCAAUCCUGGAGGGUCCCAGUCCCCUCCCGCCCUCCCUCCCGGAGGAGGACGGCAGAGGCCCAGCUGGCCUCCCCCGCUGUGGUUCCACUGCUGCUCGAAGCCUAGUGGAGCUGGAGGAGGGGAGAAGCCGUGACUGGGAAUAAACCUUCGUUUUGAUCAUUAAACCAGAACUGGAGUUGUAAUUCCUAAGCGGACACGGCCCUGGGACUAGAAGGGACCGGAGGAUUUACUGCCCAUGAGAGCGACCGGAGAGGUGUGGCAGCUGCCCAGGGGUCCAUCCAGCUGCUGGGGAAGGUCUCCGCCUCACCCCGAUCUCCUGUGUGUUUAGCUAAGGGCCCGUGGUGGAUGUGGCUCUCAACAGAGGCCAGGUG